rnacentral:rRNA from 1 species
CGACUACAGUCAGAGUUUGAUCCUGGCUCAGGACGAACGCUGGCGGCGUGCUUAACACAUGCAAGUCGAACGGGCGGAUUUGGUAGCUUGCUAUCAUUGAAGCUAGUGGCAAACGGGUGAGUAACGCGUAGGCAACCUGCCUCUUGGAUGGGGACAACAUUCCGAAAGGGAUGCUAAUACCGAAUGAUGUAUGAUUUCCGCAUGGGAGUCAUACCAAAGGCCGAGCAAUCGGUCACCAGGAGAUGGGCCUGCGUCUGAUUAGCUAGUUGGUGGGGUAACGGCUCACCAAGGCGACGAUCAGUAGCCGGUCUGAGAGGAUGAACGGCCACAUUGGGACUGAGACACGGCCCAG